GACGUAGGGUGCAAGCGUUGUCCGGAAUUAUUGGGCGUAAAGAGCUCGUAGGCGGUCUGUCGCGUCGGCUGUGAAAACUCGGGGCUCAACCCCGAGCCUGCAGUCGAUACGGGCAGACUAGAGUGCGGUAGGGGAGACUGGAAUUCCUGGUGUAGCGGUGAAAUGCGCAGAUAUCAGGAGGAACACCGAUGGCGAAGGCAGGUCUCUGGGCCGAUACUGACGCUGAGGAGCGAAAGCGUGGGGAGCGAACAGG
rnacentral:rRNA from 1 species